rnacentral:misc_RNA from 1 species
GAUGAAGAACGCAGCGAAAUGCGAUAAGUAAUGUGAAUUGCAGAAUUCAGUGAAUCAUCGAAUCUUUGAACGCACAUUGCGCCCGUUAGCAUUCUAGCGGGCAUGCCUGUCCGAGCGUCAUUUCAACCCUCAGGGUCCCCGUUCCGGCGGGGAACCUGGUGUUGGGGAUCGGCCCGCCCCGUGCGGCGCCGUCCCCCAAAUUCAGUGGCGGUCUCGCUGCAGCCUCCCCUGCGUAGUAGUUACAACCUCGCAUCGGAGCUCAGCGCGGCCACGCCGUAAAACCCCGACUUUCUGAACGUUGACCUCGGAUCAGGUAGGAAUACCCGCUGAACUUAAGCAUAUCAAUAAGCGGAGGA